rnacentral:rRNA from 1 species
UACGGAGGGUGCAAGCGUUAUCCGGAUUCACUGGGUUUAAAGGGUGCGUAGGUGGGCAGUUAAGUCAGUGGUGAAAUCUCCGGGCUUAACCCGGAAACUGCCAUUGAUACUAUCUGUCUUGAAUUUCCUGGAGGUAAGCGGAAUAUGUCAUGUAGCGGUGAAAUGCUUAGAUAUGACAUAGAACACCAAUUGCGAAGGCAGCUUACUACGGGAAUAUUGACACUGAGGCACGAAAGCGUGGGGAUCAAACAGG